rnacentral:rRNA from 1 species
UACGAAGGGGGCUAGCGUUGUUCGGAAUUACUGGGCGUAAAGCGCACGUAGGCGGCUUGUUAAGUCGGGGGUGAAAUCCUAAGGCUCAACCUCAGAACUGCCUUCGAUACUGGCAAUCUCGAGUCCGGAAGAGGUUGGUGGAACAGCUAGUGUAGAGGUGAAAUUCGUAGAUAUCAAGAGGAACACCUGAGGUGAAGACGGGUUGCUGGGCCAACACUGACGCUGAUGCGCGAAAGCCAGGGGAGCAAACGGG